rnacentral:tRNA from 2 species
GGGGGUAUAGCUCAGUUGGUAGAGCAUCGGCCUUUUAAGCCGCUGGUCCCAGGUUCGAGUCCUGGUGCCCCCACCA